rnacentral:rRNA from 1 species
UACGUAGGGGGCGAGCGUUGUCCGGAAUCAUUGGGCGUAAAGAGCGUGUAGGCGGCUCGGUAAGUCUGCUGUGAAAGUCCAGGGCUCAACCCUGGGAUGCCGGUGGAUACUGUCGAGCUCGAGUCCGGAAGAGGCGAGUGGAAUUCCUGGUGUAGCGGUGAAAUGCGCAGAUAUCAGGAGGAACACCGAUGGCGAAGGCAGCUCGCUGGGCCAUUCCUGACGCUGAGACGCGAAAGCUAGGGGAGCGAACAGG